GCUUUCAGGGCUGACUUCUCUCAGGGCUCUAUCUGACAUUGCAGUGACUGCUUUUGGAACACUUGGAUUCAUCCACUUUCCUGAUCCCCACAAACAUCACCUGUAACUUCAUGUCUGCAGGAGCAUCAGCGUCUAUGUAAAAGAAGAGUUCAAGAAGCAUGGAUUCAGAGGCUGAGUUCAGAUGGAUUCUUAAAACUGAAACUGUUAACGUAUUUUUGGAACAAAACUUACUCAGGAGGAAAACUGGAUCAUGUGGACUUCUCUGAAGCAGGUAAAGUAAAACACUUUUUAUUUCAAGAAAUAUUGCUUCUAGACUUUCCCGAAGCCAGAAUUGUACUAUAAAAGUAUCACAGAAAUAUUAUACAAGAUUUAAAAACACAGUUUGUAUCCUAGUAACUUAAAACCUAUGUACAAAUAGCAUCAUUCAUGACCAUAAAUACGUUUUUCUAUCAAUCAGCCCAUGACACAUACAUCAGAUAAAGAACUAGUAAUUUUAACAUAUUUACAGAGUCCAUCAAAAAGACUGCUUCUUAAAAUUAUUAAAAUCCUACUAAAAGAAUCUCCUUUUUAACAAGUUUCAACUUAAAAUACAAUGUAAUGGAUGUAAGUUUAACCUGCAGUGCUUGCAAUAGCAAAAAAAAA